rnacentral:rRNA from 1 species
GGACUACUAGGGUAUCUAAUCCCGUUCGCUCCCCUGGCUUUCGUGUCUCAGCGUCAGCAAAUCCCCAGCAGACUGUCUUCACCUUUGGCGUUCCAGACGAUAUCUACGCAUUUCACCGCUCCACCGUCUGUUCCAUCUGCCCCUAGAUUGCUCAAGACCGCCAGUAUAUCCAGCCAUUCCCCGGUUGAGCCGGGGGAUUUCACAAGAUACUUAACGGCCCGCCUACACACGCUUUAAGCCCAGUGAUUCCGCCUAACGCUCGGCACCUCUGUCUUACCGCGGCGGCUGGCAC